rnacentral:rRNA from 1 species
GAUCCUGCUGGCGGCUGCGGCUCUCUGGUUUGUACUUAGGCAUGCAAGUUUUUUGCUUUAGAAAUAGAGUGAAGGCGAACUGCUCAGUAACACGUAGUUAACCUACCCUUGAGUCAGGGAUAAGCUCGAGAAAUUGAGUCUAAACCCAGAUAGGAGAUUUGCCCUGGAAAGACUUAUCUCUUAAACUCGUGCUCAAGGAUGGGACUGCGGCGGAUUAGGUUGUUGGCGGGGUAAUAGCCCACCAAGCCGAAGAUCCGUAAGGGCUCUUAGCGGAGAGGCCCUGAGAGGGAAUCUGAGACACUAUUCCCAGCCCUACGGGGUGCAGCAGUCGAGAAUCUUUUACAAUGCGCGCAAGCGUGAUAAAGCGGGCCAGAGUGUUUUCCAAUUUGGAAAGCUUUUGCCGAAUGUAAAAAGUUUGGCGAAUAAGGACUGGGUAAGACUAGUGCCAGCCGCCGCGGUAAUACUAGCGGUCCAAGUCGCAGCCAUUUUUAUUGGGUCUAAAACAUCCGUAGCUUGCUUAAUAAGUUUCUUGUGAAAUCUGACGUCUCAAGCGUUGGGCGUGCAAGGAGUACUGUUAAGCUAGAGACUGGAAGACGCGAGAAGUACGUUCGAAGUAGCGGUAAAAUGUUUUAAUCUCGGACGGACUCACAAUUAGCGAAGGCAUCUCGCGAGGACAGUUCUGACAGUAAGGGAUGGAGGCUAGGGGCGCAAAACGGAUUAGAUACCCGUGUAGUCCUAGCAGUAAACACUGCACACUAAACAUCAGUACCUCCUCGAGAGGUAUUGGUGCUGAAGGGAAGCCGAAGAGUGUGCUACCUGGGAAGUAUAGUCGCAAGGCCGAAACUUAAAGGAAUUGGCGGGGAGACACUACAACGGGUGACGCGUGCGGUUCAAUCUAAUUACACACAGAAAACCUCACCAGGAGCGACAGCAGAAUGAAGGUCAGUCUGAAGGGCUUACCUGACACGCUGAGAGGAGCUGCAUGGCCGACGUCAGCCUGUGCCGUGAGGUGACCAGUUAAAUCUGGUAACAGGCAAGACCCUAGUUCAUAUUUACUAAGUGUACAAUAUGGAGAUUGCUCGGGUAACCGAGAUGAAAGUUAGGGCUACGUUAGGUCUGUAUAGCCCGAAUCCCCUGGGCGACACGCGCGCGUCAAUGGCGAAUACAAUGGGAUGCGACUCCGAAAGGAGAAGCUAAUCUCUUAAAGUUCGUCCCAGUCCAGAUUGAGGUUUGCAACCCAGCCUCAUGACGCCGGAAUCCGUAGUAAUCGGAUGUUAGCAACGUCCGGUGAAUACGUCACUGUCUCUUGCACACACUGCCCGUCAAACCAACCGAGUUUAUUUAUGAUGAAAUUUUUCGGAAGAGAAUCUUGAGUAGACAAGGUAGGUUAAGUCGACACAAGGU